UAAUCGCAGAUCAGCAUGCUGCGGUGAAUACGUUCCCGGGCCUUGUACACACCGCCCGUCACACCAUGGGAGUCGGUAACACCCGAAGUCGGUAGCCUAACCGUAAGGAGGGCGCCGCCGAAGGUGGGAUUGAUGACUGGGGUGAAGUCGUAACAAGGUACC
rnacentral:rRNA from 1 species